rfam:Schistosoma rodhaini strain Burundi genome assembly, scaffold: SROB_scaffold0008262
AUCCAGCUGACGAGUUCCAAAUAGGACGAAAUGCGCGUCGUAGAU